UUAUCAGUACUAAUCAAUUAACAAAAACAUUCUAUGAUUCUACUGCUCUCAUUUUAUGUUACUUGAGUCUUGAAUCAAGUCAGUGGACAGAUUUUUUAGUAUUCAUGUGUUCAAACCCAACCGCAAUAAUGGAAUUCAAAAUGUCCAGCGAAAGCGAGAGCAAAAUCCUCGAAGAAAGUGAUGGUCAUUUUCGAAGGUAAGGGACUGAGAAGUUUCAAAUUAUAGUUUAAAUCCGAGUUUCAAUUGUUACAAAAUAUUAUUCUAAUCCAAACUCAUUUUUAGCUACGAUUCGUUAUCACAAUGUACAAUUUGUUCAAAGUUGAACCCAACAUAUUAUGACAGAAGAUUUAGAUAACCAUAGAUAGCCAGUGACAGCGAAGAGAAAACAUAAUUCUUGAAAGAACCCUAGCAUUUUCAAAACAAGCAUUUGUUAUUAAACUGAGGAAUUUACCUUCGGAUCUGUAUUGGACCAUGGUUUUUUCGGAGUCGUUGUACAGACAUCAGGGAAAUCAGACACACCACCAACCGAAACUCCCAAGGUAAUAUAAAA